AUCGAACGCUGGCGGCAGGCUUAACACAUGCAAGUCGAGCGAGUGGCGGGCGUGUGCGCCACGUCAGGAAAAUUGCCUGAUGGAGGGGGCUACAUACUGGAAACGGUAGUAAAUACCGAAUACCUGCAGAUGUGCCAAGGUGGGUUUAGCUAGUAGGUGGGGUAAUGGCUAACCUAGGCGACGAUCCCUAGCUGGUCUGAGAGGUUGACCGGCCACACUGGGACUGAGACACGGCCCAGACUCCUACGGGAGGCAGCAGUGGGGAAUAUUGCACAAUGGGCGCAAGCCUGAUGCAGCCAGGCCGGGUGUGUGAAGAAGGCCUUCGGAUUGUAAAGCGCUGUCGGCGAGGAAGCGUUAUUCUCAGAGAAAGCAAGGGCUAACACCGUGCCAGCAGCCGCGGUAAUAC
rnacentral:rRNA from 1 species